AACUUUAAUAGAUCAGAUUCCUCGCUGCAAGUGAGAAAUCCAAAAUAAAAACCCUAAGUCAAAAUUUGAGGCUCUUCCCUCACUAAUAAAGAAGACGAAAAUACACCCAUAAUCCUUCGAAAUCGUUCUUAUUUUCCAUGUAGAAGUUGUUGUUCUCCUCCAAACCGUAAACCCUUUGCUAUUGAGUAAUCCUUCAAACUCACCGAUCGUUUUUGAAGAAACCCUCACUAUCGCUCCGGUUGAUGAAGGUAAAUAAAUUUCGUUCUUCUCUAUUCUUUUGUUCCUCAAUUGGAUUUUUCAUAUAUUGAGUAAUAAUACCCUAAAAAAUAAACAUUUCAGAGGAAAGGUUGAGUUAGCGGACAUUGCAACGGGGCCGGGGACCAGAGUCGAAACUCAAAUUGCACAUUUUGCAGCAAGUCAGGAGGGCUACAGGCACGUGACCUUGAAUUUGAUUCCCCAACCUCACUGUCACUGUUCAAAGCGAAGCGAGCUUUUUGGUACAAAUGGUCUUCUGUUUCCCUCCCUCCAGGUUAGGUAUCGGUCGAGGUGAUAGUGUUGAAUUUUGCAUUUUUCAUAUAUUAACUCUCAAUUAAAUUACUAGGGCUUGGUUGGUUGUAAUUUGGGGUUAAUUGCAAUGGUUUUGUACAAUAAUUCUUCCAAUAAAAUUUGAUUCAGCCUGUUGUGUAUUUAGUACAGUAACUUUGGAAAACUUGGGCUCUUCUCUAAGAACUACUGACCCUCCAGAGACUCGUGGCUUUCUUCAAAAAAAAAAAAAAAUUUAAAGAACCUCUAUUAUCGUUUAACAUGUGCCAUUGUUAUUUAGUUCAUUUCGAUACUUGCUGUAAAGGGGCUUAGCUGUUUUAUUCUCCCCUGUUUAUUUUAUACUAUAUCGUUUUUUUAAUUUAUGUUUUCUCUUGACAAAGCUUUGUUGAGGUUUAUUAAAAAAACUUUCAUUAUGAAAUUCUUUUGUUAGUAAUUAUGGGUUUUUGUUACGUAUGUAAAAUUCUUCAUCAUUAAUCUUGAUUAUUGAAUUUUGUGAUGACUUCUUUUCAGGGGUUAAAACUGUUAGAAAAACACUAGAUCAGUUCGGAAGGACCUAUGUAGUCAGGCAAAGGUAGACAGCAAGCCACUGUGGUUUGACUUCACUGCUUUGGUGAUAAUGGUUCAAGGUAAUAAUGUUUUUACAUUGGUUUGUUUUAGCAUCGUCUUUGAAAUAUUUGAUUGCAUAAGUUUAAGAUAGCUCAUGACAACUAUUUAAUUUUUUUUUUCCUAUCACUCAAGUUAUGUCCUGUCUAAGGGGGUCAUUGAUCUUUAUUGAAUAGACGGUGACGAUACCAGCAUUGCACAAUGGUAGAAUACAUCUCUAUAUCUUUUCUAAUUUUAUUUUUAUGUUGGUUCUGAUUUGUUACCAAUUAAAAUGCUAAGGUUUGUUGUUUUGCUAAAAACAAUAGGACUGGCUGACAAAAACACAAAGCAACUUUACGUUUCAAGUUGACAAUAAUGUUUUUAUUAUUCAUACUAUUAUGAAUUGAAUAUUUGUUUACUAUCAGGUUUCCUUCAAAUUUUUUAGAUCUUUGACAUGAAAUUUAUUUUUUCUCAACUUAUAUAGAUGAUGGAUUUUAUUAUUUUCAUUAGAAACUUAUCCACUGUUUAUCGUUCCAACUGUCCUUACUAAACCAAUGACUACAUUUAGAGGUUUUCCAUUCAUUUCCUAUAAGAAUAGUUGUUCAUUCUAUUUUCUUGUCUUGGUUGAUUUUUAAAAUCAAGAUAUACUUGUAUUUUUCAGUUUAUCGUAGUUUAACAAGAAAAAAUAAAAAAUAUAUUGUAAACAGACUUAUACUCGGUAUCCUUUUAAAUCCUUGGACAAUGAGCAUUCCUUUUAACAUAUUUGUUGAAAAUCUUGCUUUAACAAAAAUUCUUCUCUUUGAAACAUUAAAGUAAAAAUAUCUCAAAUGCUAAUGUGAUGUAAUCCAGAUGAGAAUACUAGCCUGCGUCUUCUUUCUUUGAGUUGGAUAGUGUUAGUGUUCACAAGCCUACAAGCAUGGCAUUAAGGUUGAUAGAAUGGGGAGAUUCUGGUGAUUCCAGAAUUUUAUGAUAUUUCCUCUUUUGGAUUUUUAGAACUUUUACCUUUCUUUUUAUUAGCUUGAUUUUGGUGGAUUUUGUUUAAUUGUUUUGUUAACUCUUGAGAUUUGAAUUUGAAAUAAAUUUACUCUUGAGGAUUAAAUUUAUCCUGUUUUAAAUUAAUUACUAAUUAGGUAUGAGAAGGUGUAUGAUGUUGUGAAAAUUAUUAUUCCUGUGAGUAGUGACAGCAAGACAGCAAAGUACCUAUUUAAUACUUGUGAUAAAAUUACAGGCUCAGUUUAACAUAUCAAAUACCAAAUUUUAAAAAUUACAAACAAUAACAAAUAGAACAGAGCCCCUAAUUGGUUAUUUGCAUCAAUAAAUAAACCCCACCAUUCCAUUCAAGUUUCCACCAUCAGUUCCAAUGAUCAUGCUAAUGCUACGAUGAAAUGAUAGAUCUUCUUUUAGUUUCCUGCACGUCAAAACUCUCUAAUUGGCGUGUUAUUUUUUCAUGAAAUUUCUAACAUCUAUUAAUAAUUUCUUAAUGUUACUGAAAAGUUUGUAGUUCAUGGGAUGAUAGCCGAAGAGUUUUGGCUGAUCUAACUCUAUCAAGUUGGUAAUUGCUUUUCGUAACUAUAUCUUCAGCACUCGAAACCUUUUAUCGCUUUUCCAAGUUGAUUUCAGUCAUUUGUUAGUAAGUCUACGCGGAUGAAAUUGAUAGAAGCGUCAGGUUAUGUGGUGGUGUUAUAAUUACCAGAAAACAUUGUUGUAUAGGUUCCGUCGUGACAUUCUCAUGCGCUAUAUAAAUCAUCAUUGUUUUGCAGGUGCUUUAGGACAUUCUUUAGUGGAGUCUGGAUCGGCUAGGCAGGGUGCCUCAGAGGCAAGAGUCAAGAUGAAAAGAAAUAUAUCUACAACUACAUAAGGUAGGAAAUUUUAUUAUUUUUAAGUCUUCUAUCUCUUUUAACUUCAUUAGUCUAACAUCCUGUUGAACCUAAGCAUGAUUCAUUUCACAGAGUUUUGACCUGCUAUGUGCCCAAAAUGAACUCCUUGGUAGCGUUUUUUAUAUUGAAGAUUCUAUAGCUCAAGUUCUGUGGCUGUGCAGUUAGGCACAAGCAACGAUAGACUUGGAAGUAAUUUUUGCUGAGCAAGAGACUGAGGAACCAUUUUGUAGUUUGCCGAUUUGAUAGUGCUAUGCCAUAAAGCAAUUUACCUGGCAUGGCUUUACAAAUGGAUUGCAGAAUUAUUCAAGGUGUUCUGCAUCUUUCAUUAUUGAACCACUGAACUAUUCACUUUUGUCAAUGUUUCUAUGUGUUGGUCUGCUUUAAAUUUUAAUGGACGGAAAAAUGUGGGCCAUUGUGUUUUUCUAUGUCGUAUGGAGGUAGAUCACAAGUUAUAGCAAUAAUCUUUUCUUAUGGCCCCCCAGCACUUGUGUAGGUUAGUUACAUGUUGAGCGCAAUGAUGCUAUUUUACCAGUCAUAAGUCCUGCAACCCAAGCACUUGAAAUUGCUUCAUCUCAAGCUCUUAGAAUUGGCAAGGAGUUUUGUGGAGACGAUAAUCGGCUUAGACGUUUUAUUUCUUUCGAAGAUAAUUUUGUUGGUACAUUGUGGAUUUCUAACCCAAGGUGUAUUAAGCUUGUUUUUCAUAAGCUUCAGUACACUAGACAUUCUUUGCAGUGCUCUUCAAAUGACAGGACGUUUAUUGGGAUCUUACUUUAUUGAUGACACGGGUUCCGGAGCAGUUGGUGCAAUAAGUAAAAUUGAUCUUAUGUAGGGGUGGCAAUAUGGAUCGGGAUUCAUUUAUUUGAUUCGAUUCGAUUCGAUGCGAAUUAAAUGGGUUUGGGUUUGAAAAAAUUGAUUUGCUAAAUAAAUGAGUGAAUUCGAUUUGAUUCGCUAAUUAAAUGAAUUGAAUCUGGGUUUGAAGAUAUUGAUUCGUUUAUUCGUUUAAUAAAUGGGUCAUAAACAAAUUGAAUACAAGUCAAUUUGUUUAAAAUUCGUUUAUUAUUUGUUUAAUUAAAUUACUUUUUUGUCCUUAAAUUUAUUUGAUUUUUUUUUUUAAAUUUGAAGGUUAAUAUUGUAAUUUGGAUGACUGUAUAUUUAAUCAUAGAAUAUGAUUUGGGUUAUCUAUAUUUUGUUGUAGGAUAUUAAAUUAGUGGUUUUUUUAUAUUUUUUUUUAUAUUUUAUUUUGCUUAAUUUUCUUUAUUUAUUAUAUUUUUGUAAACAAUUUGUAAACGAAUCAUGAUUCGAUUCAAUUCGUUAUGGAUUCAUAAUAGAAUAAAUGAAUAAUAAAUGAAUCUAGAUUCGAUUCGUUUAUUAAUUCUACUAAAUGAAUUAACGAAUCGAACCGAAUAUUCGUUUAAUAAAUGAAUUGAAUCCGAAUCCUGAAAUUUCAAUUCGUUUAAUAAAUUAUUC
rnacentral:lncRNA from 1 species